rnacentral:lncRNA from 1 species
UGAAGGCCUAUAAAUAGGCCUUUGCGCAUAGGUUGUAAGCGCAUUAUAAUCAAUUGACAGAAACAUUAUAAAAAGCUUAUGCUUUGCUUUAAUUAGCAUUUGUUGCUAAUUUUUAACUUCUUCAAGUUCUUCAACAAGCAGGAGUCUUCAGAAGUCUUGUUAAGUCAAGGAGGAGGGGUCAACUUAUUGGUAAGUCCAUAACAUUUUUCUUUUCCUUAUUUUAU